UUUUAUGAGAGUUUGAUCCUGGCUCAGGACGAACGCUGGCGGCGUGCCUAAUACAUGCAAGUCGAACGCUUCUUUUUCCACCGGAGCUUGCUCCACCGGAAAAAGAGGAGUGGCGAACGGGUGAGUAACACGUGGGUAACCUGCCCAUCAGAAGGGGAUAACACUUGGAAACAGGUGCUAAUACCGUAUAACAAUCGAAACCGCAUGGUUUUGAUUUGAAAACGCUUUCGGGUGUCGCUGAUGGAUGGACCCGCGGUGCAUUAGCUAGUUGGUGAGGUAACGGCUCACCAAGGCCACGAUGCAUAGCCGACCUGAGAGGGUGAUCGGCCACAUUGGGACUGAGACACGGCCCAAACUCCUACGGGAGGCAGCAGUAGGGAAUCUUCGGCAAUGGACGAAAGUCUGACCGAGCAACGCCGCGUGAGUGAAGAAGGUUUUCGGAUCGUAAAACUCUGUUGUUAGAGAAGAACAAGGAUGAGAGUAACUGUUCAUCCCUUGACGGUAUCUAACCAGAAAGCCACGGCUAACUACGUGCCAGCAGCCGCGGUAAUACGUAGGUGGCAAGCGUUGUCCGGAUUUAUUGGGCGUAAAGCGAGCGCAGGCGGUUUCUUAAGUCUGAUGUGAAAGCCCCCGGCUCAACCGGGGAGGGUCAUUGGAAACUGGGAGACUUGAGUGCAGAAGAGGAGAGUGGAAUUCCAUGUGUAGCGGUGAAAUGCGUAGAUAUAUGGAGGAACACCAGUGGCGAAGGCGGCUCUCUGGUCUGUAACUGACGCUGAGGCUCGAAAGCGUGGGGAGCAAACAGGAUUAGAUACCCUGGUAGUCCACGCCGUAAACGAUGAGUGCUAAGUGUUGGAGGGUUUCCGCCCUUCAGUGCUGCAGCUAACGCAUUAAGCACUCCGCCUGGGGAGUACGACCGCAAGGUUGAAACUCAAAGGAAUUGACGGGGGCCCGCACAAGCGGUGGAGCAUGUGGUUUAAUUCGAAGCAACGCGAAGAACCUUACCAGGUCUUGACAUCCUUUGACCACUCUAGAGAUAGAGCUUCCUUCGGGGGCAAAGUGACAGGUGGUGCAUGGUUGUCGUCAGCUCGUGUCGUGAGAUGUUGGGUUAAGUCCCGCAACGAGCGCAACCCUUAUUGUUAGUUGCCAUCAUUCAGUUGGGCACUCUAGCAAGACUGCCGGUGACAAACCGGAGGAAGGUGGGGAUGACGUCAAAUCAUCAUGCCCCUUAUGACCUGGGCUACACGUGCUACAAUGGGAAGUACAACGAGUCGCGAAGUCGCGAGGCUAAGCUAAUCUCUUAAAGCUUCUCUCAGUUCGGAUUGCAGGCUGCAACUCGCCUGCAUGAAGCCGGAAUCGCUAGUAAUCGCGGAUCAGCACGCCGCGGUGAAUACGUUCCCGGGCCUUGUACACACCGCCCGUCACACCACGAGAGUUUGUAACACCCGAAGUCGGUGAGGUAACCUUUUGGAGCCAGCCGCCUAAGGUGGGAUAGAUGAUUGGGGUGAAGUCGUAACAAGGUAGCCGUAUCGGAAGGUGCGGCUGGAUCACCUCCUUUCUAAGGAA
rnacentral:rRNA from 1 species